CCGUACAAAACUGUUGCGGAUUCACACAUCAACAGCGAACCACCUCUGGCUAGCCCGCUGUUCGCUCCUGCCAGCACCCAGCUGAGCGACAGGUGAAUACAUAGGGGCAUGAAUAACUUUUAUUCAAGAACUUACCGACGAAAUGACAUCUUUUGUAUAAAAAAAGAAGAAGAGAAAAGCACCUUCCAUUGCUCAGGUGUCCCGGAAGAAGACGUCCAGACGUUGACCCGGUUAAUGUGUUUCAGCUGGAUGUGAACCUUGGGAUCAUCUUUGACAGUAAGCUCAGAUUUGAUAAACAGAUCAGCUCCGUUGUUAAGACGAGCUUCUUCCAGCUCCGACUUCUUGGCAAGCAGGUUCAGAAUGCUGCUGCACGCCUGCAGACUGGGAAGAGACGACGUGAUCACAUAACGCCUGUACUGGCUUCUCUUCACUGUGUGUUCACUGCCCCCGUGGCUCGGCCCGCCGCUGCCCCAGUGGAGGUGUAAUUGCACUGCUGUGAAGAACCACGGAAGCCCGCCGAUACCCAUCCACUCUGGCAGGUCAAUCACAGCUGAGGGAAUACACAGAGGAAAAAUAACCCCACAAGCAAUACUACAUAAGGACAGAGACAGCAAAGCCCCGCACCAAGACACGACUUCAAAAGUGAGUCCUGUGGCCCCGCCAUCGGUCGUCAUGGAGGUCUCCAUGGUAACCGGAGGCCGAAAAUCCUGACCCACUGCGCCUGCUCUACCUCAACCCUAGCAUGCCACCCCUGCCCCACAAGUAACAAAGAAACCCACACACACAUGUACACGUAUGCAGAUUCGCUCAACCAGGGCAUGAUGAGGCAAUGAUGGAACGUGAGACCGACUUUCCCUCGAUUACACUACGUAACUCUGGUUUGUGGAAAGAGGUGUCCCUGAAACUGAGCAAUUCUGCUCUGUCAUGUGUGAAUAUGAUGUUGAGCAUAUUAAAAGAGCCUUUCUACUUCAACUAACAAGCUCAAAACCGACACAUCGUGCAAUUAUAUGUCACACAACAUGCCCAGAACACACGCUCACACUCACUUGAGCACUGUGCAAACUGUGGAUGAAUCUCUGAAACUCUCAUUAAAAACACUCUGGACUCUGUGUACAUUGA